rnacentral:rRNA from 1 species
CAAAGGUUUGGUCCUAGCCUUACUGUCAGCUGUUACUCGACUUACACAUGCAAGUAUCCGCACACCCGUGAGAACGCCCUUUCAACCUUAUUUAGGAUAAGGAGCUGGUAUCAGGCACAGAACAUCUUGCCCAUAACACCUAGCUACGCCACGCCCUCAAGGGUAUACAGCAGUGAUAAACAUUGUUCAUAAGCGCCAGCUUGACCCAGUCAGAGUAAAUAGAGCCGGCCAACCCGGUGCCAGCCGCCGCGGCUAUACCGUCGGGCCCAAGUUGACAAGCAUCGGCGUUAAGCGUGUUUAAAGUGUCCCCUAACAUUAGAAUUAAACUUCAACCAAGUUGUGACACACUUGUUAUUAAGAAACCCGAAAACGAAAGUUAUUCUAACUAACCCACUUGAAUCCACGACAGCUAGGGCACAAACUGGGAUUAGGUACCCCACUAUGCCUAGCCGUAAAAUAUUAACCCACAUCAUAACCCGCCAGGGAAUUACGAGCCCAAGCUUAAAACCCAAAGGACUUGACGGUGUCCCACCCACCUAGAGGAGCCUGUUCUAUAAUCGAUUCCCCCCGAUAUACCUCACCACUUCUAGCCUCUCAGCCUGUAUAC